UUAAGCAUAUCAAUAAGCGGAGGAAAAGAAACCAACAGGGAUUGCCCUAGUAACGGCGAGUGAAGCGGCAACAGCUCAAAUUUGAAAUCUGGCUCUUUUAGAGUCCGAGUUGUAAUUUGCAGAGGGCGCUUUGGCUUUGGCAGCGGUCCAAGUUCCUUGGAACAGGACGUCACAGAGGGUGAGAAUCCCGUACGUGGUCGCUGGCUAUUGCCGUGUAAAGCCCCUUCGACGAGUCGAGUUGUUUGGGAAUGCAGCUCUAAAUGGGAGGUACAUUUCUUCUAAAGCUAAAUAUUGGCCAGAGACCGAUAGCGCACAAGUAGAGUGAUCGAAAGAUGAAAAGCACUUUGGAAAGAGAGUCAAACAGCACGUGAAAUUGUUGAAAGGGAAGCGCUUGCAGCCAGACUUGCUUACAGUUGCUCAUCCGGGUUUCUACCCGGUGCACUCUUCUGUAGGCAGGCCAGCAUCAGUUUGGGCGGUAGGAUAAAGGUCUCUGUCACGUACCUCCUUUCGGGGAGGCCUUAUAGGGGAGACGACAUACUACCAGCCUGGACUGAGGUCCGCGCAUCUGCUAGGAUGCUGGCGUAAUGGCUGUAAGCGGCCCGUCUG
rnacentral:rRNA from 1 species